rnacentral:tRNA from 1 species
GGCUGUGUGGUCUACUGGUAUGCUUCUCGCUUUAAGUGCGAGAGGCCUCGAGUUCGAUUCUCGACUCAACCC